UAAGUGAAUAGUGAAAUCUGGCGGCUCAACCGUACAGACUAUUAUUCAAACUGGCAAACUCGAGAAUGGUAGAGGUAACUGGAAUUUCUUGUGUAGGAGUGAAGUCCGUAGAUAUUAGAAGGAACACCAAUGGCGUAGGCAGGUUACUGGACCAUUUCUGACACUGAGGCACGAAAGCGUGGGGAGCGAACCGGAUUAGAUACCCGGGUAGUCCACGCCGUAAACGAUGGAUACUA
rnacentral:rRNA from 1 species